CACAAAGAUGACGACCGGCGCACGGGUGCGCACCGCGUAUGGAACCUACCUUCUACAGGGGAAUAGCCCAGGGAAACUUGGAUUAAUGCCCCGUGGUACCGGCCAACAGCAUUGUUUACCGGUUAAAGCCUUCGGGCGGUAGAAGAUGGCCAUGCGUCCCAUUAGCUCGAUGGUAGGGUAACGGCCUACCAUGGCCACGAUGGGUAGGGGCCCUGAGAGGGGGAUCCCCCACACUGGUACUGAGACACGGACCAG
rnacentral:rRNA from 1 species